UACGAAGGGGGCUAGCGUUGCUCGGAAUUACUGGGCGUAAAGGGCGCGUAGGCGGACAGUUAAGUUGGGGGUGAAAGCCCGGGGCUCAACCUCGGAAUUGCCUUCAAAACUGGCUGUCUUGAGUACGGGAGAGGUGUGUGGAACUCCGAGUGUAGAGGUGAAAUUCGUAGAUAUUCGGAAGAACACCAGUGGCGAAGGCGACACACUGGCCCGUUACUGACGCUGAGGCGCGAAAGCGUGGGGAGCAAACAGG
rnacentral:rRNA from 1 species